CUAAAGAAGAGCGACUCGGACGUGUCUGCGGAGUCCACAGUUUCAUCAUCCAUCCAGCUGGGCCUGGCAAAGCUCCUCUUGGGGAAACUGCGACCUGUCUGAGAGCCUGCCAAGCCGCUACGACCCUGAGCAACCCACAAACCAAAUAGUUGGAUGCAGCUCGGAUGCUCAUGCGGGCAACAGACUCCCUCUUACGCCUGGGAAAGCGGCUGUACCCGGAGCGCUGGCUGGUGAAGGAGCUAAGUGAGGUGACACCCGGGGUAACCGGACCGCCCUGAGUGAUGUGGGGUGUCCUGGGGGAGCGACUGUCCAUCUCAUCUGGGCAACGGAAAGCACGCCCCCGUGCCAGGGGAUCUACAAUCUACGAAAAAAGAGAUAUUAGUGUCUUCAACCUGACAUAAAUAUUUGAGUUAUGUCAUGACAUUAACUUAUCUAAUCCUACUAAACAAUUGCUGUAGUAAUUUCUUAUCACCGGCCUUCCGUAUUACAAGAAUGAACAGGUGCAGAGUCCAAAAAUCAGGUGAGGAUACGCACAAGAUAGAGAACAAAAGAAAAUCUAAAUAAAUAUUGGAUGAGUACAUGAGUAGAUGAGUAGAGCUAUUUGACACAGACUGAGGGGACAUGAUUCAUCUGGGACACAGAUGGUCCACGUCUGUCACUGUACAGCACUCUGCUUUAUUGAAGCCAGACACAUUUUUUCACCUCUUCUCCAUCUUAUUCUUUCUUUUUGCUCCUUUCCUUACAGACAAGCCUCUCAGUGCAGAACAACAAGAUUUGGGUGAUGUUAUACUGUGUUGAAAUAAAUGACCUAAAUGUUCA